GAUGAUCUCAGAAAAGUUUUCCAGCGCGAACGUGGUGGUGGUUCAAGAGGUUGCCACUCUCUGACUCUGAUCAUGAAUCGCCCGGGGACUUGAUGAGAGAGCUGAAGUCACUGGUACAGUAGCUGAUCAUUGUAUGAACUGGAUAUACAUGGAGGCUGUUCUCAUCCAGAGACAAUACAUAUUUCAGACACUCACCUCAUUUUGCAUUGCUUCAUUCCAUGCUUACUUUGACACAACUUUCCUUGUCUUUUCUAUUUGUGUUAAAUUCAUAAAGCAAUUACUUCUGUACUUGUCAUAGUAACAUUUAAUGAAUGUAAUAUUUGUUUUCUACAAUAUUGUUUUUUUGAGUAUAAUUUUAAGCAGUAAACAUACUUAAAGAUAACAUGUUAUUUGUUAACCUGCAUGCCAUGUUACUAUUAAUACACAUCAGAGAACUGUCAACAUUAAAGAGUGUUGUUAAAUUAUUGAAAUAUUAACUUUAAUGAAUCUCAGAGAAUAUUAAUUUCGGUAAGUGACAGGAGAACAGAGUUUGGCUGACAAAGAAACAUUUGGGUUUCAUUGUAUGUAAUAGUUGUAAAAUGUGAAAAAAAAAAAUUUUGAAUAAGAUUUUCAAAUGUUAAACAUUAUUUACACAAUGAAUCACUAUUCAUUAUUCUUAGACAUGACAUGAUGAGGUUGUUGUUCAGUGCCUAUGGUCAAAGAACAGAGAUAAUGUAUGCUUAUGAUAUUCAUAAUUAUUAUAUUUAUUAUUAGUAGUUCUUUCUCAGAUUGUCUAAACCGUUUAGCUCUGUAUUUGACUGUUAACUCAAUGCAAUAAAGAAAAAGGUGUCCAUUUUAAAAACUGUUAAUUUAAAUAUAAAAAUUAACUCACGUU